AUACUGGAACUUACUACUGCGCUGUGGCCGUGUGUGGGAAGAUCAUUUUUGGAAACGGGACACGAGUACAAUUGGAGAACUUUGAAACAGAUUUUAAUCCUGUCGUGAUCUGCCUGGGAGCAGUGUUAGUAAUGUGCGGGAUUCUGAUCUCUGUUCAAGCUGUUUUACUCUGUAAAAGGAAAAACUAUCAACAAUACACAGAGAGAUUUCAGCGUGACGCUGUGAUAAACACUGAGAAGAUGAACACACAGGACCAUGAUGCUGUAGAACUGAAUUACGCUGCCUUACAUUUUAAUGAAAGGAAAACUAAAAGAGCAAGAGAACAUCGAGGUCGAUCUCAAGACAGCGUGUACUCUGAAGUGAAAUCUUCCAGCGUUACUCACUAAAAUAUACUUUAACAUUAUUCUGUUUCUGAAAUUGUUAGUAUUUAUUUAAAAUUUUUAUUGAUAUUCAAUACAGAUGGGUGGCUGUGUUGUGCUGUGGGGGGCAUUUAUUUAUAUUUCAAACUUGCUGAUCACAUUUAUCAUGUGAUGAAACAUUUCUAUCCUUAUGGCCAUGGUGUCUUUUAGACUCAUCUCACAGCGAGACAAUUUUGUAUUAAAACUGUGUUUAAGAUUAAUUAACAUCACACUGGUGCCAAGGAGGAUCUCAUUAAAGCCUUAGAUCAGACAUUAUUCUUCUCAAUGCUCUUAUGUUAGUAAUAUCUGUCUUUUAUGGGUUUUUUGUUGUUUUUUUUUUUUUUUGCAUACAAUGAUAAUAAAUCAACAGUAAUCCUUGCAUGUACUUGUGUCUUUUUUGCAUCUGUAAGUGGGAGGAGUCUGUGGUUUAAUCAUGAGAAGAAGGAAGUCUUAAGUAACUCACUUUCCGCUUCUGGGUGACCAGAAACAAGCACAACACGCAAAUAAAAGAAACCACAACAAGAGUCCUCAGCUCUCGUUUCUUUUGUUAAUGGUCAGAAACUACACAGAUGUUCUGCGUAAAGUAACAACACUUCUACCUGAAGGCUUUUGUAGGGUUAUUUUUCUACUUUUUUCCACCACGUGCUUCAGAUGGUCAAAGUGUAUUACAAAAAUAGAAACAUGUAGAUGGAAAGGAAAUAUAAAGAGGCCUUGAAACUUGUAACUCAGCCAAUCAGAUGGACGUCUCUAGUACAAAAUACUUGGUGUGUUCCUUAUUUUAUAUUUUUUUUUGUAAUGUGCAAUGGUGCAAUGAGGCCUGUUUUACUGUUCCCUCCCUGAAGUUUAUUAUAUUUCUACAUGUGAAUGUGUGAAUGUGAAAGUUUUAUUUAAGUGUUUUAUUUCUUGUAUAACCCAACAAUUUGCCCAUUUGCCCAAUGCCAACUAUUUAAUUGGUGCUUCAUUGCAUUAUUCUACUACUUAAACCAUCUAAAAGAAAGACAUUUAGGUGACUUAGUGGUUAGCAUGUUUGCAUUGCCUCUCCAGGGUUGGGGGUUCAA